rnacentral:lncRNA from 1 species
CCUUCCCCCAGCAACAGCGACAGCCAAUCCCUAAUCACCACCCCUCCCCCGUCCAGUACCGCCCACUGACCUUUCGCCGGCAACCAAUCAGAACGGGGCAUGGCUUCGACCAAUCAGCCUUCCCCAGCCCCUAUAAAACUGUUGCCUCUCCCUCAGUAAAGUGGACUUGCGUGUUUACCUUGUCUCCGCGGUGGUUCUUCUGCCGUGCGCCCUCCAGUCCUGAGAGCCCCCGACAAGGGCCUGGCCUCCCUUGUCCCCAGUUCGUCGCCUGCUUCUCCGGGCGACCCCUUCGUCGCUGGCUUCUCCGGGCGACCCCUUCGUCGCCGGCUUCGCCGGGCGACCCCGUCAGCUGAACCGCGCAACCCCUUGUGAGACCGAUCCCUCGUCUGCUGCUGGACCGACCCCUCGUCCCAAGUGGGACCGACCCCUCGUCCCAAGCGGGACCGACCCCUCGUCCAGAGCUGGACCGACCCCUCGUCCGCAGCCAGACCCCACCUCUACCGACCGAGCAAGCUGCCGCAACAUUAGAUUCUCUGUCUCCAGAUUUACUCCUAUAAGGGGCGUAAAACAGGAGCAGAAAGCUCUUCACAUAAUCACCCU